GAUGAACGCUGGCGGCGUGCCUAAUACAUGCAAGUCGAGCGAACGGACGAGAAGCUUGCUUCUCUGAUGUUAGCGGCGGACGGGUGAGUAACACGUGGAUAACCUACCUAUAAGACUGGGAUAACUUCGGGAAACCGGAGCUAAUACCGGAUAAUAUUUUGAACCGCAUGGUUCAAAAGUGAAAGACGGUCUUGCUGUCACUUAUAGAUGGAUCCGCGCUGCAUUAGCUAGUUGGUAAGGUAACGGCUUACCAAGGCUACGAUGCAUAGCCGACCUGAGAGGGUGAUCAGCCACACUGGAACUGAGACACGGUCCAGACUCCUACGGGAGGCAGCAGUAGGGAAUCUUCGGCAAUGGGCGAAAGCCUGACGGAGCAACGCCGCGUGAGUGAUGAAGGUCUUCGGAUCGUAAAACUCUGUUAUUAGGGAAGAACAUAUGUGUAAGUAACUGUGCACGUCUUGACGGUACCUAAUCAGAAAGCCACGGCUAACUACGUG
rnacentral:rRNA from 1 species